rnacentral:rRNA from 1 species
AGAGUUUGAUCCUGGCUCAGGAUAAACGCUGGCGGCGCACAUAAGACAUGCAAGUCGAACGAACUUAAUUGAGAGCUUGCUCUCAAAGCGGUUAGUGGCGGACUGGUGAGUAACACGUAAGCAACCUGCCUAUUAGAGGGGAAUAACAGCGAGAAAUCGUUGCUAAUACCGCAUAUGCUGUGAGUAUCGCAUGAUACAAGCAGGAAAGGAGCAAUCCGCUAAUAGAUGGGCUUGCGUCUGAUUAGUUAGUUGGUGGGGUAACGGCCUACCAAGACGAUGAUCAGUAGCCGGACUGAGAGGUUGAACGGCCACAUUGGGACUGAGAUACGGCCCAGACUCCUACGGGAGGCAGCAGUCGGGAAUAUUGCGCAAUGGAGGAAACUCUGACGCAGUGACGCCGCGUGCAGGAAGAAGGUUUUCGGAUUGUAAACUGCUUUUAACAGGAAAGAAAAAAAUGACGGUACCUGUUGAAUAAGCUCCGGCUAACUACGUGCCAGCAGCCGCGGUAAUACGUAGGGAGCGAGCGUUAUCCGGAUUUAUUGGGUGUAAAGGGUGCGUAGGCGGCUUUAUAAGUCGGUGGUCUAAGUCCGAAGCUUAACUUCGGUUCGCCAUUGAAACUGUAGAGCUUGAGUAUGGAAGAGGUAAGUGGAAUUUCUAGUGUAGCGGUUAAAUGCGUAGAUAUUAGAAGGAACACCAGUGGCGAAAGCGACUUACUGGUCCACUACUGACGCUGAGGCACGAAAGCGUGGGGAGCAAAUAGGAUUAGAUACCCUAGUAGUCCACGCCGUAAACGAUGGAUACUAGGUGUUGGCAAUGAAUAAUUGUCGGUGCCGGCGCUAACGCAAUAAGUAUCCCACCUGGGGAGUACGACCGCAAGGUUGAAACUCAAAGGAAUUGACGGGGGCCCGCACAAGCAGUGGAGUAUGUG